rnacentral:rRNA from 1 species
GACGAACGCUGGCGGCGUGCUUAACACAUGCAAGUCGAACGGUGAAGCGCCUUCCUUUUUGGUGGGUGUGGAUGAGUGGCGAACGGGUGAGUAACACGUGAGUAACCUGCCCCCUUCUUCUGGAUAACCGCAUGAAAGUGUGGCUAAUACGGGAUAUUCUGGGUCUGUCGCAUGAUGGGUCUGGGAAAGAUAUUGUUUCGGUGGGGGAUGGGCUCGCGGCCUAUCAGCUUGUUGGUGGGGUGAUGGCCUACCAAGGCGGUGACGGGUAGCCGGCCUGAGAGGGUGGACGGUCACACUGGGACUGAGACACGGCCCAGACUCCUACGGGAGGCAGCAGUGGGGAAUAGUGCACAAUGGGCGCAAGCCUGAUGCAGCGACGCCGCGUGAGGGAUGGAGGCCUUCGGGUUGUGAACCUCUUUCGCCAGUGAAGCAGGCCUGCCUCGUUUGUGGGUGGGUUGACGGUAGCUUGAUAAGAAGCGCCGGCUAACUACGUG